AAAGUCGUAACAAGGUCUCCGUAGGUGAACCUGCGUAGGGAUCAUUACAAUAACGCCCGGGCUUCGGCCUGGUUAUUCAUAACCCUUUGUUGUCCGACUCUGUUGCCUCCGGGGCGACCCUGCCUUCGGGCGGGGGCUCCGGGUGGACACUUCAAACUCUUGCGUAACUUUGCAGUCUGAGUAAACUUAAUUAAUAAAUUAAAACUUUUAACAACGGAUCUCUUGGUUCUG
rnacentral:misc_RNA from 1 species